UGGCAAACUGAGCUGUGUGCCCUGAAAGC
rnacentral:piRNA from 1 species